rnacentral:rRNA from 1 species
UACGGGGGAGCAAGCGUUGUUCGGAUUUACUGGGCGUAAAGGGCGCGUAGGCGGCCACCGCAAGUCGACUGUGAAAUCUCCGGGCUUAACCCGGAACGGUCAGCCGAUACUGCGGGGCUAGAGUGCAGAAGGGGCAACUGGAAUUCUCGGUGUAGCGGUGAAAUGCGUAGAUAUCGAGAGGAACACCUGCGGCGAAGGCGGGUUGCUGGGCUGACACUGACGCUGAUGCGCGAAAGCUAGGGGAGCGAACGGG